rnacentral:lncRNA from 1 species
AUCCAAUUUUCCAAUUCUUAUUCCCGUUGAGGCAGAUGUCUGUGACUGACUAAUAUUAGCUAAAUCACUCUCCAAUUUUGUUACUGUUUCCUUCAAAACAACAAUUUUUACAUGUAGCUCAUCUAUUUUGUUUCGAUAUUGGUCACCCAAUUGUUUCUUUUCAAGCUCUAAUACCUUCUUCUUCUCUUGUUCCAUCUUCAACUGAGUGUUCAUCUUCUCCUAUUCCAAUCUAUACGAUUUACGAGUUUGUAGUAAUUCUUGUCUUUGAUUUUCCAAGAUAUGGUAAAUCCUCUAUUUAUCCUUUGACCAGUUUUUCACUCUCUCAUCCAGUUCACGCUUCACUCACAUCUUGGAUUCUGAUUCUACCUUGAUGACUUGUUCUUGUUCCUUGAUUUUAUAAUUUUGCUCCAAUAUUAUUUUCUUGCUCGCUUCCACUUGCCCUUUUAAGCUACCCUCAUCUUUGAGCUUACUCACCGUAAGUUGCAGCUGGGAAAUUUGAUCCAAUAU